UACGUAGGCAGCAAGCGUUGUUCGGAGUUACUGGGCGUAAAGGGUGUGUAGGCGGUUUUUUAAGUUUGGUGUGAAAUCUCCCGGCUCAACUGGGAGGGUGCGCCGAAUACUGAAAGACUAGAGUGCGGGAGAGGUAAGCGGAAUUCCUGGUGUAGCGGUGAAAUGCGUAGAUAUCAGGAGGAACACCGGUGGUGUAAACGGCUUUCUGGACCAUAACUGACGCUGAGGCACGAAAGCGUGGGUAGCAAACAGG
rnacentral:rRNA from 1 species